rnacentral:tRNA from 1 species
GUUUUUAUAGUUUAUAUAGAACAUUACUUUUUCAUUGUAAAAGAAAUUUUAAUAUUUAAAAAUA